CAGGACUUCAGUUCCUAUGGGUUGUUUAUGUAACUUGUUGGAAGAUAAGAGGUAAAUUGUACAGGCUGCUGCUUUCAGAAUUCUCUGGUAUCAUUCAGAAUUCAUUGUUCCAUCAAUGAUUGGAAGCUGUUCUGGCCCAGAUGCAGCAAGUCAGGCCCAAAGCAUGAUACUACCACCACCAUGUUUCACUGAAGAUAUAAGGUUAUUAUGCUGGCAUGCAAAAUUUCCCUUUGUCCCAAAAUAAUGCUUCUCAUUUAAACUAAAAAGUUUUAUCUUGGUCUCAUUUGUCAUUCAUUCAUUCAUUUUCUACUGCUUAUCCGAACUACCUCGGGUCACGGGGAGCCUGUGCCUAUCUCAGGCGUCAUUGGGCAACAAGGCAGGAUACACCCUGGAUGGAGUGCCAACCCAUCGCAGGGCACACACACACACUCUCAUUCACUCACGCAAUCACACACUCAGGACAAUUUUCCAGAGAUGCCAAUCAACCUACCAUGCAUGUCUUUGGACCAGACGAGGAAACCGGAGUACACGGAGGAAACCCCCGAGGCACGGGGAGAACAUGCAAACUCCACACACACAAGGUGGAGGUGGGAAUCGAACCCCGACCCUGGAGGUGUGAGGCGAACGUGCUAACCACUAAGCCACCGUGCCCCCCCUCUCAUUUGUCCAAAAUUAUUUUUCUAAUAGUCCUCUGGCUUGUUCACAUGUUCUUUUUGGAGAGCAGUUAAAACUCUUUAGUUUGCCUAGAAGUUAUUCUGGGUUCCUUUCUGACCCAAAAGUACGGUGGCCAAGAAGUGCAAAAUGUUUUCGGAUUUGUUAAUUUGUUUUCGGAUUUGUUAAUUUGUUUUGCACUUCUCGGCCACCGUACAAAAGACUAUUCCAUGUCUUGCUUUUAGAGUGAUCUUUGUUGAUUGAACACUUCUGUGGACGGUAGCAAUGGUCUUAAAUUUUCUUGCGUUAACACACGUCAUGAACAUCAGACUUUGAUAUAUCUCUUUUCUUUUAAUAAAAUAAAACACUCACGGACACCUGAUUGACAUCCCAUUGACUGCAAAUCAGACUAUAAUUUGAGCCUAAAAUUAAAUACUAAUCCUAGAGUUUCACAUACUUCUGCCUCUCACAGUUAUAUAAUAUUACCUGAAUAAAGUGAAUAUAUUUGACUGA